CACUUUGUUGCUGCUGUUGUUGUUUUAAAAGAACAGUGUGUGUGCAAGCAAAAAGAGGCGUUGGAGCGUUCCCUCUCUACGUACAUGCAGGACACAUCCAUGGCAGAGCACAGUGCCAGAAGUAUUCAUCUCCCACAAGCUCCUUGUGGCCGAUCCACCACCUGUGGGUUCUGCAACACAGCUGUACUUAUUCUUGUACUAUCAAUGGGAAUAUGGCACAGAGGCAUGGAAAGACAGUUGUGAUUAUAGGGAUGGACUGGAAGCUGGGACUUCACGUGGCAGUUACAGUUGGGAUGAGGUGAGAGUAACUGAAAUUAAACGUGGAGGGGCUUUACCAAGGAAAUCAUCAGCCUGCUGUUAGACAGAGGUGGGCUAGGAGAUGUCAGCC
rnacentral:lncRNA from 1 species